AACGAACGCUGGCGGCAGGCUUAACACAUGCAAGUCGAACGCAUGCCUUCGGGCAUGAGUGGCAGACGGGUGAGUAACGCGUGGGAACCUACCCCUUGGUACGGGAUAGCUCCGGGAAACUGGAGAUAAUACCGUAUGUGUCCUGAGGGACAAAGAUUCAUCGCCAAGGGAUGGGCCCGCGUCGGAUUAGCUAGUUGGUGGGGUAACGGCCUACCAAGGCGACGAUCCGUAGCUGGUCUAAGAGGAUGAUCAGCCACAUUGGGACUGAGACACGGCCCAAACUCCUACGGGAGGCAGCAGUGGGGAAUAUUGGACAAUGGGCGCAAGCCUGAUCCUGCCAUGCCGCGUGAGUGAUGAAGGCCCUAGGGUUGUAAAGCUCUUUCACCGGUGACGAUAAUGACGGUAACCGGAGAAGAAGCCCCGGCUAACUUCGUG
rnacentral:rRNA from 1 species